CAGCCCCCUGGGGGUGCUGCCUCGCUGCUUCCCUGCCAGCUCCCCCCGAGCCCUCUGCAGCCCUGGCUGGGAGGCUGCGAUGCCUUCGGGCACGGCCCCAGCCCUGGGUGCCCGCCACGGCCCCGUAGGGCUGAGGGACCCCAAACACUCUCCCAGUGCAGUUUCCAGCCCGCCAGCUGCCAGCUCCCACUUCUGCCUGCCCUCUGCCUCUCUCUGCUCCUCCUGCAGACUGUCGGGGUAACCCGGGGUGCUCCCCACCCCACCGCACCUCUCUCGGUGGUGGGACAAACCCCGCACUUUUGGGGAUCAACCCCGCACCUCUCGCACCUGCCGGGGCCGGAGCCCGCCUCCCCUCUGCUCCCAGCCACCCACCGAAACCCCUGCGGGUUUGCGGGAGCGUGGGCGGGGGGCUCUCCUCCUUCCUUCCCCCCUCUCCAUCCCUCCUUCUUCCUUCCUGUCCCUGUGUGCCUGCCCGAACCCCGCUCCCCUCUGUCCCCGACCCCUCUCCUUGUCUCUGCCCGGGGCGACGCUAUCUCACUCUCUGAUUCUUUGCAGAUGGACGUAGUUUACACAUUCCAGACCGGCGCCUCCUCUUUGCAGGGAGCCCUCAGGAGACAGCCUUCCAUUGUGAGCCAGCACCAUGAUGUAAAAAAUGUUUCUAGCCCAACCCAUGUAGCUCUUUCCUCCGUCAAUUCCACUCCCACCACUUCUGCUGUUGCUGCUGCUGCUGCAUCUCCUCCUGCGGGCAAUCAAAGUGGUGAAUGCGUUCCGUAGCUCCUUGUACGAAGGCCUCGAGAAACCCGAGUCCAGAAGCUCCAUCCAUAACUUCAUGACUCACCCGGAGUUCAUCCUGGAGGAAGACGAGCCUCGAACACCAUUCCUUGACAGCGCUGAAGACGACCCCGAGACCGACGGACUCAAAAAGCGAGGUGGGGAUAGCCUGGGUGGAUCGACAGCCCUCAACAGAAAUAACAAUGCAGUGGACAGCGAUCAAACCGAGGUCACCUUCCCGGAGCCCGAAAGCCCCUUACACAGCUUGGAGACAUCGGUUUGACCUUAGAACUUCGACCCCCUCCUCCUCCUCCUCCUCCUCCACCUUCGCCCCGCGCCCUGUGUGAUGUUGGCACCAGUAACUGAUCACACACUGCGGUCACUUCGUGUCAAACUGCUCAUACGUAUAUCAUUUUGGGGGGUUUUGUGUUUUUUUUUUUUUUUUUUUUUUUUUUAAAAAAACGAUUAUUUAGCUGUGGGAACCGGAGUACCACGAUGCUGGGUGUCGGGAGAGGGGCUACGCCAAAAUUUUGUGCAUCUUCAUCCCUGAUUUUUCAGUGGUACUCGCCCAAGUGAAACAGCCAGGUCAUUUUCCUCUCCAGGAGUUGGGCUCCAUGCGUCCGUGAGGGGGGUUUUCACUUUGAGAAAAUGCAUGUUCAAAGAAAAAGUUCAAAUUGUUGUAGUCUUACAUGCACGCUCCCUGCCCGAGGGCUGUGGGCUGCACUUCUGACUUUGAGUUUUUUUUUUCCACUUGUGGUUUUUAAGGUUUUCUUCUAAUGUUGGGGUUUGUUCUUUGCUUGUGGGAUUUGCCCCCAAGGAACUUCACAGCGGGAAGCGGGGGAGUUAGCACUGUAGUGCGACAAGUUGAAAAAAAAAAAAUAAUAAAAAAGCAAACAAACAGCCA